CGCUAUUAAGCAAUACCUUUUAUUCAUAUAGACUACACGAAAAUUUUCCUCAUUGCUACGUAAUACUUCUAGUUUAUCAUUAAAACUUUAUUUAAACUAUCAAGGUAAUUCAUUAAUUUCUUUGCAAUAGGCUUUAUAUCAACUUCGCUAUAUGUGGAAUACAGAAUAUAUUCUAAAACAUCAUAAUUAAGAAGAGAUUGUCCACUGUCCAAGAUAAUUUCUCCUCUUAAGCGCCUUCUGUGUCCUUUUGUAUAAUCUCUAGU